UAAUAUUAGUUGUGCUAUAUUACAAGUGCU
rnacentral:piRNA from 1 species